GAUGAACGCUGGCGGCGUGCCUAAUACAUGCAAGUCGAGCGAACAGACGAGGAGCUUGCUCCUCUGACGUUAGCGGCGGACGGGUGAGUAACACGUGGAUAACCUACCUAUAAGACUGGGAUAACUUCGGGAAACCGGAGAUAAUACCGGAUAAUAUAUUGAACCGCAUGGUUCAAUAGUGAAAGACGGUGUUGCUGUCACUUAUAGAUGGAUCUGGGCCGCAUUAGCUAGUUGGUAAGGUAAAGGCCUACCAAGGCAACGAUGCGUAGCCGAGCUGAGAGGGUGAUCGGCCGCACUGGAGCGGAGACACGGUCCAUGCUCCUGCGGGAGGCCGCAGUCGGGAAUCUUCCGCAAUGGGCGAAAGCAUUACGGAGCAACGCCGCGUGAGUGAUGAAGGUCUUCGGAUCGUGAAGCUCUGUUAUUAGGUAAGAACAAAUGUGUAAGUAACUAUGCCCGUCUUGACGGUACCUAAUCAGAAAGCCACGGCUAACUACGUG
rnacentral:rRNA from 1 species